UGCUCAGGUAGUCUGCCUCUUGAAAAUUA
rnacentral:piRNA from 1 species